UUGUAGAGUUUGAUCCUGGCUCAGAUUUAACGCUGGCGUUAUGCCUAACACAUGCAAGUUGUACGAUAGAAUACUUUUUCGUAGCGAACGGGUGAGUAAUAUAUCCAAACAUACCCCAAAGAUUGAUAUAAUUUUACGAAAGUAAUUCUAAUAUCAUAUAGAAAGAACGUAUAAAUAUUCUUAAAAGUUUUUAUAUAAACCAAUAUUAUAAAUACUUUGGGAUUGGUGGAUAUCAGAUUAGUUUAUAUGUAAUUUAAAAGACUACAUAGACUAUGAUCUGUAGCUGUUUUUAGAGAAAGCACAGCCACAUCAGGACUGAGACAAGGCCUGAACCUCCACGGAGGGCAGCAGUGAGGAAUUUUGGACAAUGAGCGAAAGCUUGAUCCAGCAAUAUCGCGUGUAUGAAGAAGGUUAUACAACUGUAAAGUACUUUUUUCAGAAUACUAAAAUUUUAUGGUAAUUCAUAAAACUGAAUAACUGAAGAAUAAGCACCGGCUAAUUACGUGCCAGCAGCCGCGGUAAUACGUAAGGUGCGAGCGUUAAUCGGAAUUAUUGGGCGUAAAGCGUGUGUAGGUGGUUUAUUAUGAUGUUUAUAAAAUAAUGAUUAGAGUCAUUAGGUAAACAUUACUGGUAAUCUUGAAUAUAUGAUAGAGGGAGGUGGAAUUUUGCAAGUAGUAGUGAAAUGCGUAGAUAUGCAAAGGAACACCAAUAGCGAAGGCAACCUCCUGGGUUUAUAUUGACACUGAGACACUAAAGCAUGGGUAUCAAACAGGAUUAGAUACCCUGGUAGUCCAUGCCCUAAACGAUGUCAACUAACUAUGGUAAAUAAUACUUGCUGUAGUAAAGCUAACGCGUUAAGUUGACCGCCUGGGUAUUACGAUCGCAAGAUUAAAACUCAAAGGAAUUGACGGGGACCUGCACAAGCGAUGGAUGAUGUGGAUUAAUUCGAUGCAACACGAAAAACCUUACCUACUCUUGACAUGUAUAGAAUCGAAAAAAUAUAAAGAGUGCCGAAAGGAACUAUAACACAGGUGCUGCAUGGCUGUCGUCAGCUCGUGUCGUGAGAUGUUAAAUUAAGUUUUAUAACGAGCGUAACCCUCGCUCUCUAAUAUUAUGAGAGGACUGCCUUUUUGGAGGAAGGAGAGGAUGACGUCAAGUCAUCAUGGCCCUUAUGAGUAGGGCUUCACACGUCAUACAAUGGAUAGUACAAUACAAAAAACUAUUCUUAGUUCGGAUUGAAAUCUGCAACUCGGUUUCAUAAAGCAGGAAUCGCUAGUAAUCGCAGAUCAGCAUGCUGCGGUGAU
rnacentral:rRNA from 1 species